AAAUCGCCAUACGCCACUACAUGCGUGUCCCUAGUCACAACGUGCCACCGCUGGACCACUAUUAGACCAUCGCGCACCGCUACAAACGAUCGGGAAUAGAUCAAAAUUCACCACAAAAUGUUUCACACACAUAGAUUCGACACGUAUAUGGUGAAAUCGUGUCGGAAGAAGUCAGGGAUAUGCGGAAUUAGGCAACCAGCUGCUGUGGAUCUCAUUCUUCUUC
rnacentral:lncRNA from 1 species